AGUCGAGCGGCAGCGGGAAAGUAGCUUGCUACUUUUGCCGGCGAGCGGCGGACGGGUGAGUAAUGCCUGGGAAAUUGCCCAGUCGAGGGGGAUAACAGUUGGAAACGACUGCUAAUACCGCAUACGCCCUACGGGGGAAAGCAGGGGACCUUCGGGCCUUGCGCGAUUGGAUAUGCCCAGGUGGGAUUAGCUUGUUGGUGAGGUAAUGGCUCACCAAGGCGACGAUCCCUAGCUGGUCUGAGAGGAUGAUCACCCACACUGGAACUGAGACACGGCCCACACUCCUACGGGAGGCAGCAGUGGGGAAUAUUGCACAAUGGGGGAAACCCUGAUGCACCCAUGCCGCGUGUGUGAAGAAGGCCUUCGGGUUGUAAAGCACUUUCAGCGAGGAGGAAAGGUUGAUGCCUAAUACGUAUCAUCUGUGACGUUACUCGCAAAAGAAGCACCGGCUAACUCCGUGCCAGCAGCCGCGGUAAUACGGAGGGUGCAAGCGUUAAUCGGAAUUACUGGGCGUAAAGCGCACGCAGGCGGUUGGAUAAGUUAGAUGUGAAAGCCCCGGGCUCAACCUGGGAAUUGCAUUUAAAACUGUCCAGCUAGAGUCUUGUAGAGGGGGGUAGAAUUCCAGGUGUAGCGGUGAAAUGCGUAGAGAUCUGGAGGAAUACCGGUGGCGAAGGCGGCCCCCUGGACAAAGACUGACGCUCA
rnacentral:rRNA from 1 species